GCUUGCUUCCGCCGACGACCGGCGCACGGGUGCGUAACGCGUAUACAAUCUACCUUAUACUGGGGUAUAGCCUUUAGAAAUGAAGAUUAACCCCCCAUAGUCUCUUAGAGUGGCAUCACUUCUAGAGUAAAGGUUACGGUAUAAGAUGAGUAUGCGUUCUAUUAGUUUGUUGGUGUGGUAACGGCACACCAAGACUACGAUAGAUAGGGGCCCUGAGAGGGGGAUCCCCCACACUGGUACUGAGACACGGACCAGACUCCUACGGGAGGCAGCAGUGAGGAAUAUUGGACAAUGGAGGCAACUCUGAUCCAGCCAUGCCGCGUGCAGGAAGACUGCCCUAUGGGUUGUAAACUGCUUUUAUACAGGAAGAAACACCUCUACGUGUAGAGGCUUGACGGUACUGUAAGAAUAAGGAUCGGCUAACUCCGUGCCAGCAGCCGCGGUAAUACGGAGGAUCCAAGCGUUAUCCGGAAUCAUUGGGUUUAAAGGGUCCGUAGGUGGAUAAUUAAGUCAGAGGUGAAAUCUUGCAGCUCAACUGUAAAAUUGCCUUUGAAACUGGUUAUCUUGAGUUAUUAUGAAGUAGUUA
rnacentral:rRNA from 1 species